AGAUGUGAGGGCGAUCUGGCUGCGACAUCUGUCACACCACUGAUCACCAGGGUUGGUUCGGCUGAUCUGGCCGGCUACACAGGCGUCCCCUUCCUCCCUCACGGCUCCAUGCGCGUCCCUCCCGAAGGUGCACGCUCGGUGGCAGAGGACGACCUUCCCCGUUAGAGGAGGACCGUUCUUCGGUCAAGGGUAUACAAUUAGCUGUGCUCCCCUGCUAGAACCUCCGGACAAGCUCUCAAGGUCCCUUUGUAGGAGAACAGAGGGUAGUCAAGCUUCCAAGACUCCAGACACAUCCAAAGCGAGGUGCUGCAUGUGGCCCUUCUGCCUUUCUU
rnacentral:snRNA from 1 species